UAGGGAAUCUUCGGCAAUGGACGGGAGUCUGACCGAGCAACGCCGCGUGAGUGAAGAAGGUUUUCGGAUCGUAAAGCUCUGUUGUAAGAGAAGAACGAGUGUGAGAGUGGAAAGUUCACACUGUGACGGUAUCUUACCAGAAAGGGACGGCUAACUACGUGCCAGCAGCCGCGGUAAUACGUAGGUCCCGAGCGUUGUCCGGAUUUAUUGGGCGUAAAGCGAGCGCAGGCGGUUAGAUAAGUCUGAAGUUAAAGGCUGUGGCUUAACCAUAGUAGGCUUUGGAAACUGUUUAACUUGAGUGCAAGAGGGGAGAGUGGAAUUCCAUGUGUAGCGGUGAAAUGCGUAGAUAUAUGGAGGAACACCGGUGGCGAAAGCGGCUCUCUGGCUUGUAACUGACGCUGAGGCUCGAAAGCGUGGGGAGCAAACAGGAUUAGAUACCCUGGUAGUCCACGCUGUAAACGAUGAGUGCUAGGUGUUAGACCCUUUCCGGGGUUUAGUGCCGUAGCUAACGCAUUAAGCACUCCGCCUGGGGAGUACGACCGCAAGGUUG
rnacentral:rRNA from 1 species